CCCUGGGUGAUGCAAAUGGUUAGCAUGUUCGGCUGCUAACCGGAAUGUUGGUGGCUCAAGUCCACCCAGAGGUG
rnacentral:tRNA from 1 species